ACGGCGGGCGGGGAAGGGCGGAUUGGAAUGCCGCGCCACUAAGCUAGGCUGCCAGCCGGAGCCUCUCCUGCUGCUGGGGCUAGAGAUGGGGAUGGUCCACGCACUGGCGCCGUCACGUGUUUUUCUCCUUGGAGUGAGACGGAGUGUCGGCGGCGGCGGCUGGAGGGGGCUGGACUCAUAAACACAGCCGCUUGUUUUGGUUUGGGGCUUUCAGAAAGUCUGCGAAGCUGCAGCUACUGCAGCGGCGGCGGCGGCCGAGAAGGACGAGCCACAAGUCAGGCGGCCGCGUCGCUGUGCUCUUCCCUCUGCGCGCCUCGCCGCCUUGGUUCUGGGGUGCACGAGGAGGAGGUGGCGGUGCUGGAAGAGGCGGAAAGGGCUGCUCUGCUGCUUCUGCCCACCGAGACUUUCCCAACUGGAAUGAAGAAGAGGAGGAGGAAGCAGCCGCCACCGCCGCCGCGAGGAUGUCCCUUCUUCUGCUCUUCCUCCUCCACUUGGGCAGCAGCUUCUGCUCUUCACCGCUCUCGCCCCUGCAGCUGCCUGCUUACAUUUUGUGUGGAGAUGGCACUUUCUUCUCCUAACCAGACGGGACUGAAUGGGGUCGCCACCAGCCUUCUCCUCCUGCCCAAGCUGAAGAAGCUGCAGUCUCGGCGCUGAUUUGGGAUAUUUCUUCUGCUUACUGUUGUUGGCUUUCCGGCGUGAAGGAUAUUCUAUUGACAUUUGUUGGCGGGGCGAAAACAAGCUGGCUUGUGUGGUGGUGAUUAGUCGUCGUCGUCUUAUCAUCAUCAUCAAAAGGGGUGCCUCUGAGUUCAACUGAGACUUUUUUUGUUGUUUUUGUUUUGGCAAAGCAAACCCUCUCUUCCCCCACCCCGACGAGCCUUCCUCUAGAGAGGAUAUGUAAUCGGCAUCUGAAAUCGCUCCUUGCUGAGGGUAACUUGAGAAGGGGAGGGGGCUGUUUGUUUGGGAGAGGAGCGACGGGGGAACCCCAUCCUGCUCCUGUCGCUGCAGGAAUCCAACCCCUGUAUGGAUGAAAUGAUGCACUUCUCCCCUUUCCCGGCGGCUGCUCCUGGGACGAGGCUUUCCCGUGGCUUAAUCUGGACUGGACUUUUGAAAGACACGUUUCUCCUGCGAAGGGUGAUUUGGAAGUAAAAACAGCAACCCAAACUCUGCUUCUGGAGCCGAAAGGCGGCUCUGGUCGCUGAACAGCUGUUCUCUGCCUGCCACUCGCUGCCUUUCCCUCCUCCCAUCCCAUUUUGGAACGGGGAUUUGGAGCUAUUUUGCUGGUUUUGGUUGCUGCUGCAUUGAAUUGUAUUUUGGGCUGCUGCAUUCUUUCUUUCUCCCCCCUCCCUCCCCCGCCUCGCUCUGCUGUUUUGGAAGCUGCCAGUUGCAAUCGGAGCUGCAUUGCCACCUUGCUCAGCAUGGCGAGCCCCACAGAUAAUAAUAAUGAGGGUUUCUUCUCAGAUGUCAGGAAGGUGGGUUACUUGCGCAAACCCAAGAGCAUGCAUAAGCGAUUCUUCGUGCUGAGGGCAGCCAGCGAGUCAGGACCCGCCCGGCUGGAGUACUAUGAGAAUGAAAAGAAAUGGAGACACAAGUCGGGGGCUCCCAAGCGCUCAAUCCCGCUGGAGAGCUGCUUCAACAUCAACAAGCGAGCGGACUCCAAAAACAAGCAUCUGGUGGCUCUCUACACCAAGGAUGAGCACUUUGCCAUUGCUGCUGACAGUGAGCCUGAGCAGGAGAGCUGGUACCAGGCGCUGCUACAACUGCACAACCGGGCCAAGAGCCAUCACCACCAGCACCAUCACCACCACCACCACCACCAUAGUGAUGUUACUGUUGGAGGUGGGAGUGUUGGGAUAGGAGAGGCAGGGGAGGAUAACUAUGGUGACAUGGCCCCUGGCCCGGCAUUCAAGGAAGUUUGGCAGGUGAUCCUGAAACCAAAGGGUCUGGGCCAGACUAAGAAUCUGAUUGGCAUCUACCGCCUGUGCCUCACAAACAAGACCAUCAGUUUUGUGAAGCUGAACUCGGAUGCGGCGGCUGUGGUGCUGCAGCUCCUCAACAUCCGGCGGUGCGGCCACUCGGAGAACUUUUUCUUCAUUGAGGUGGGGCGCUCUGCGGUCACUGGGCCAGGUGAGUUCUGGAUGCAGGUAGAUGACUCGGUGGUCGCGCAGAACAUGCACGAGACCAUCCUGGAGGCUAUGCGGGCCAUGAGUGAGGAGUUCCGGCCUCGUAGCAAAAGCCAGUCUUCCUCCAAUUGCUCCAAUCCCAUCUCUGUGCCUCUCCGCAGCAGGCAUCAUGUCAACAACCCCCCGCCCAGCCAGGUGGGGCUCAGCCGUAGGUCCAGGACUGAGAGUGUGACUGCUACCUCUCCUGCUGGCAGUGGGGUGGGAGUUGGAGGAGGGACAGGGGGCAAGCCCAGCUCUUUCCGCGUGAGAGCCUCUAGUGAUGGGGAAGGAACCAUGUCCAGGCCAGCUUCGGUCGAUGGAAGCCCAGUGAGUCCAAGUGCCAACCGGACUCACUCGCACAGGCACCGUGGAAGCACGAGGCUCCACCCUCCACUCAACCACAGCCGCUCCAUCCCCAUGCCUUCUUCACGCUGCUCCCCAUCUGCCACGAGCCCAGUCAGUCUGUCCUCCAGCAGUACCAGUGGCCACGGCUCCACCUCCGACUGCCUCUUCCCGCGCAGGUCCAGUGCUUCAGUCUCUGGCUCCCCCAGUGAUGGGGGCUUCAUCUCCUCUGAUGAAUAUGGAUCUAGCCCCUGUGACUUCCGCAGCUCUUUUCGCAGCGUUACCCCUGACUCCCUGGGACAUACCCCACCGGCUCGGGGAGAUGAGGAACUUAGCAACUACAUAUUCAUGGGGGGUAAGGCUACUUCCUCUUCCUGCAGUGUCACGGCCCCUAAUGGUCACUUCAUUCCCCGUACCUGCCAUCUUCAGCAGCAAACCCGUUACCCUGGUGCCCCAUGCUGCUCCCGGAUUGGUGGGGAGGAUGUGGGUGAUCCGGACAAAGGCUUCAGGAAACGAACUCAUUCAGCUGGUACCUCCCCUACGAUCUCCCACCAGAAGACACCCUCUCAGUCUUUGGUGGCCUCCAUUGAGGAAUAUACUGAGAUGCUCCCCUCGUAUUCCUGUAGUGGCAGCAGGCUCUCCUCCUACCGACAUUCUGCCUUUGUGCCAACCCAUUCUUACCCCGAGGAGUGUCUAGAGAUGCAUCACGUGGAGGGCAACCACCAUCGGACCAACUCCACCCCACACACCGAUGAUGGCUACAUGCCCAUGUUGCCAGGGGUGGCCCCUGUCCCUAGCGGUGGCAGUGCUCUCAAAGGUGGUGAUUAUAUGCCCAUGAGUCCCAAGAGUGUGUCUGCCCCACAGCAGAUCAUCAACCCUGGGAGAGGAGGUCGUCACGCGCAGGCCAUGGUGGACUCCAAUGGCUACAUGAUGAUGUCUCCUAGUGGCAGCUGCUCUCCAGACAGUGGCCCCUCUGGCUACAGCAAGCUAUGGAUGAAUGGAGCCAGCCACCAUCCCAAGCUCUCUGUGGAGAGUAAUGAGGGGAAGCUGCCGAGUGGUGGCAGUGAUUAUAUCAACAUGUCGCCAGCCAGCGGCUCUGCUACCAGCACCCCUCCAGACUGCUACUUCACCAGCUCAGGACCUCCAGGCCCAGAAGAGCCAUCUGCACAGGUGUCCUCCCAGUCCCACCACAAGCCCAUCUACUCCUAUUUCUCCCUGCCACGUUCCUUCAAACCCAUGCAACGCAGGGCAGGUGAUGAGGGGAACACCCAGAUGCGCAUGUCCCUCAGCUCUGGCCGCUUGUUGUAUGCUGCUGCGGAGGACUCUUCCUCCUCCACUAGUAGUGAUAGCCUUGGUGGCCCCGGGGGACAGGAGGGUGGUGGGUGUGCCCUUCCUACUCAGACCCAACCCUUGAAGCCUGCUCCUCCUUGUACUGUGGACCCGGCUGUGCGGACCAAGAGCCGUCUGGCCAGACCUACUUGCCUGUCCUUGGAUGGCCCGAGGGCCAGCACUUUGCCUCGUGCCCGGGAACAGCUCCCAGAGCCCAAAAGCCCUGGUGAGUAUGUGAACAUUGAAUUCAAGCAGCCAGCCUUCCCAUCACCUUUGCCCCAUGGAGAGGCUGGCUCCAGUUCAGAGGAGUAUAUGAACAUGGAUUGGGGGGCUGCCUGCUCAGCCAACUUGGCAUCUAUGCAGCCAAGCCAGGGCCGGGCAGCCCCUCCUGGUGGCCGAGACUACAUGAGCAUGCAGCUGGGCGGUGGGGGGCAAUAUUUAGUCUGUGCCCACACCCCCUCGCCUUCCCCUCCGGCCCUUCUGCUGACUUAUGCCGACAUGAGAAUGGGUCGUGGUCGGCCAGAGAAAAGUCCACCAGAUGUGGGGGCCCCUUCCCCACAUCCUCAGCCUCAGUCAGGCGAGCUGGCUGCGGUCUUGCCCCACUCCUGCUCCUCCUCCAUGAUGGGGGGCCUGGGAAUAAGCAGCGCCUUCACGCACAUCAGCCCCAGCUGCAUCAGCCAGAGUGCCAAAGUGAUCCGUGCCGACCCACAAGGAGGCCGGCGUCGUCACAGCUCUGAGACGUUUGCUUCUUCUACCACCACUAGCAGUGGCCUCGGUGCCUCAGCACUACCCCACGGACCGGGAGGAGGUCCUGAGGAUGCAAAGCGCCACAGCUCGGCUUCCUUUGAAAACGUCUGGCUGAAGCCUGCGACUGGGGAGCCUGGGGCCUUAUCUGGCCUUGGCAUGGCGACCCGGUGGGAGCUGACAACCAGUGGGACCGGAAGUGGCGUGGAGAACGGGCUCAAUUACAUUGACCUGGACUUAGUGAAGGAUUUUAAUCACCACCAACAUCACCAUCGCCACCCUCACCCUCAGGAGAGUCCCUCCCUGCUAGGGGGCAAGCAGCUGACGCAGCAGCAUCAGCCACCUAAAUCUCCUAAUCAGCCUUGUGGGAGUAGCCACUUGAGUGAUGAAUUAAGUGCAUAUGCCAGCAUCAGCUUUCACAAGCGGGAGGACAUCCAGUAGCUGGGCAGGAGCCAGAGACAAGAGAGAGAGUUCCCUCAGCUGAGCAACCAGUGACUGACACACCAUCAGAGGGGAUCCAGAAAAAAGAAAGAAAACUGACGAUGACCUAUACAACCUCAGAAAAAUUCUUCUUUGAACUCAUGGGUAACCAGACUCUGUUUUGUGUAUCACAACUAGGACCUCGCAUCUUCUUCCUCAGUAGAUGGGUACGAUGCAUCCAGUUUAAUUUGUUUACUUUACACAAACCUCAGGAGUUAGUUAACUGAACUGCACAUUCUUUCUUCUUCUUCUUCUUCCUACUACUUUUUAUUUUGUGCCAAGCAAAAGCACUGUGACACCUGGACAACAAGUCUAUGAUUACUUCCUCCAAUACCAUAAAGACUUAGCUGGCUAGAGUGAACUCGUGUGCCCAACACUGUAAAAUGGUGAGAAUGGGUAUACUUCUGCCUUCUGGCUCAUUUACAUAAGACAUGAAACUUUAAUUUGCUGCUGAAAAAACCUGUAUGACAAAUCAUCAGUGUAAAUUAUUACAUACAAACUGUUAAUGUUGGUUGAAGAGUAUUAAAUAUUUAACAUAGGUUUUUUGAUUUAUACAUGUACUUUUUUAAUUAAAAAUGUAACUUUUCCUACAGCACAUCUUUUUUGUUGAUGUGGAACUGAGGUAUACUAUGUUGUAAACAGAGUGGGGUUGGGGUGGGGAAACUGCUUAAAACAAGGCAAUUUAAGAAUAGAGUAGGGUACUAUUCUUUUUAAGAUUGUAAUUCAGAAUAUAAUAUAAUAUGAAUCAAUGGCCCAUGAAUCUGGAUUGUACAGUCAUCCUUAUUGAUAGAAUCUGUAAGAUAACCCUGAGGUUGAACUGAGUUCUUUCAAAAAGAAAAGAAUAAUAUUUUGUACACUACCUGUAAAACAUUAGGCUGUAUUAAUGAAAAGACAGACUAAACUGUGCAUGGUAUUUACAAGUGUGAAUUUGAAAUUGUUGGUUGCACAGGAAGUUAGAAAAUCAAAAGAAAUAAAUCAAAGUCUUCCAUUGUAUAUAUUGUAAGAAGAUGAAGAAGAAAACAAACAAAACAAGGGUGAACUCUUCAAAUCAAACUAUCCCUGGAAUGAAAUAUGUGGGUGUUUGUAAAUUCUGGAAAUCUCUUUCUAUACAUAAUAAACUAGAUACCGUUUUAUCUUUA